rnacentral:rRNA from 1 species
AGUGAACGCUGGCGGUAGGCCUAACACAUGCAAGUCGAACGGCAGCACAGUAAGAGCUUGCUCUUACGGGUGGCGAGUGGCGGACGGGUGAGGAAUACAUCGGAAUCUACUUUUUCGUGGGGGAUAACGUAGGGAAACUUACGCUAAUACCGCAUACGCCCUACGGGUGAAAGCAGGGGAUCUUCGGACCUUGCGCGAUUGAAUGAGCCGAUGUCGGAUUAGCUAGUUGGCGGGGUAAAGGCCCACCAAGGCGACGAUCCGUAGCUGGUCUGAGAGGAUGAACAGCCACACUGGAACUGAGACACGGUCCAGAGUCCUACGGAAGGCAGCAGUGGGGAAUAUUGGACAAUGGGCGCAAGCCUGAUCCAGCCAUACCGCGUGGGUGAAGAAGGCCUUCGGGUUGUAAAGCCCUUUUGUUGGGAAAGAAAAGCAGCAGGUUAAUACCCCGCUGUUCUGACGGUACCCAAAGAAUAAGCACCGGCUAACUUCGUG